AUACGUAGGGGGCGAGCGUUGUCCGGAAUGAUUGGGCGUAAAGGGCGCGUAGGCGGCGCGGUAAGUCUGGAGUGAAAGUCCUGCUUUCAAGGUGGGAAUUGCUUUGGAUACUGCCGCGCUUGAGUGCAGGAGAGGUUAUCGGAAUUCCCGGUGUAGCGGUGAAAUGCGUAGAGAUCGGGAGGAACACCAGUGGCGAAGGCGGGUAACUGGACUGCAACUGACGCGGAGGCGCGAAAGUGUGGGGAGCAAACAGGAUUAGAUACCCUGGUAGUCCACACUGUAAACGAUGAAUGCUAGGUGUAAGAGGUAUCGACCCCUUUUGUGCCGGAGUCAACACAAUAAGCAUUCCGCCUGGGGAGUACGGCCGCAAGGUUGAAACUCAAAGGAAUUGACGGGG
rnacentral:rRNA from 1 species